GGGGCCGCGGAUGUGGCCGUUCUCAGGCCUCUUGGGAUCGCCUCAAGAAGCCCCCUCAAGAGUGUCUCGAUUUCCUGCCAGCCAACAAGGGCCGUUCGCCUCUCAUGGCCUCCACAGCAGGGUUGCCGUGGUAACGACCCUCCGCCGGACGUUGGACGCACCGCGCUCGUAUUCUUACCCACCUCCCGCUCCGCCCCAUCCCUUCUCGCUCCUCCCUCUUGUCACACCCUUUCAGACACGGGUAGUGUAGCCGGUCCCUAGCGGCGGGAUAAAAGUCCUGCCCUUUCACACAUGCGCAGUGUACCCAUUCCUAGGGGUGGGGCUAAGGGGGCCUGCCCUUUCGGACAUGCGCAGUGGAGCCCGUCCCUAGGAGCAGGGUAAUGGCGGCAGACCUGGCAGGUCUCAGGCUCUUGGGAUCCCCUCGAGAAGCCCCCUCAUGAGUGUCUGAAACUGUCACUUGACUGCCAGAAGUGAAAACAUCGUGUCCCUAGUCACCUGCCAUUUGCCUUUUCAAAACCAUUUCCUCUGUUCUCUAUGCUGUCACAAAUCCUCUGCAUCCCAGGAGCGCCGCUUGGACCCCCGGGCUCACUGCGUGGCCCGUAUCUAGGCCGGGCCUCUCACGGAGACUUUCCCGCCAGUGUAAUAAAGAGGAGAAAACGUCACAGCGGAAGGGCCUGACCCUAAGGAAACAGCUACGGGGAUGGGACCCUGUAAGCUGCUGUGGGAGCCUCAUCCACCACUUUUCUGACCCCACCCAGGCUGCUUCCCAGGCGUUAGGGUCCUAGUGUGGACCUCCUGGCCGUGAUUAAUGCAGUUUUUCAGAUUAAGUACUGCAGGACUACUUACUUCUGAAACUCAUAGACACUGCCUCAGCUCUGUGCAGGGCAGAUGCACAAGAGCUGAAUCUCCGUGGGACAGCUCUCUGGAGCAUCAAUAUUACUGCAGUAUUUGGAAGAAACAAAUUUAAAUAAGUUCUAAUGUAAAGAAUGGAACAUUUAAGACACGUCUGGAAAGUCAUCUGCCUUUAGUAACUGUCGUCUGUCCCUCACAUGUCAGACUUUCUCCAAGACAAAAACUCUAAGAACUUAUUUCCAUUCUUAUAAAUAGUAAAAAUGAUAAAUCA